rnacentral:lncRNA from 1 species
AUGAAUCCUACAUCCAGUCUCCACCACAAACCAUGGUGGAAUUUUCACUAUAAUUCUCAGGUUACAUACACCAAUACUAUUGAAUUACUCCCUAAUUCAACUAGUAUCUACCCCUAAGCUUUCUUCACCAAAGCUUAGCAACCCCAAAGUGCUAUCCCAACUUGGAAGGGGAAUCUACACAGAUUCAAUUCUCACCAAGUGCUAACCCAACUUGGAAAGGGGAACUAAUCCUAGUUCAUAAACCCAGAUUACAUCAAAAAAUAAACAGUGGCUAUUUCUGCAUCACUCUUGCCUUUUCUCUCUUGGCUUUUGAUCCUCACAUGAUUGCCUUUUUCAAAACAAAGAAUAACGCAAGACAGCCAUAACAAUAAAUCAGAAUUAAGCUUGAGUAGAAGAAAGAGAUUUCAGCUCUAUAUUAGAGAAGGUGCUCUGAAUUGGUGUGUGCUCUCUUUCUUAACUUGAAAUGAUGGAAUGAGUCUUCUUAUAUAU